GAGGAAUAUUGGUCAAUGGGCGAGAGCCUGAACCAGCCAAGUAGCGUGCAGGAUGACGGCCCUAUGGGUUGUAAACUGCUUUUGUAUGGGGAUAAAGUCAAUCACGUGUGAUUGUUUGCAGGUACCAUACGAAUAAGGACCGGCUAAUUCCGUGCCAGCAGCCGCGGUAAUACGGAAGGUCCGGGCGUUAUCCGGAUUUAUUGGGUUUAAAGGGAGCGUAGGCUGGAGAUUAAGUGUGUUGUGAAAUGUAGACGCUCAACGUCUGACUUGCAGCGCAUACUGGUUUCCUUGAGUACGCACAACGUUGGCGGAAUUCGUCGUGUAGCGGUGAAAUGCUUAGAUAUGACGAAGAACUCCGAUUGCGAAGGCAGCUGACGGGAGCGCAACUGACGCUGAAGCUCGAAGGUGCGGGUAUCGAACAGGAUUAGAUACCCUGGUAGUCCGCACAGUAAACGAUGGGUGCCCGCUGUUGGUACGUGGUAUCAGCGGCUAAGCGAAAGCAUUAAGCAUCCCACCUGGGGAGUACGCCGGCAACGGUG
rnacentral:rRNA from 1 species